CGGUACAUCGGUGACAGGUGGUGCAUGGUUGUCGUCAGCUCGUGUCGUGAGAUGUUGGUUAAGUCCCGCAACGAGCGCAACCCCUAUUGUUAGUUGCCAUCAUUCAGUUGGGCACUCUAGCGAGACUGCCGGUAAUAAACCGGAGGAAGGUGGGGAUGACGUCAAAUCAUCAUGCCCCUUAUGACCUGGGCUACACACGUGCUACAAUGGUUGGUACAACGAGUUGCGAGUCGGUGACGGCGAGCUAAUCUCUUAAAGCCAAUCUCAGUUCGGAUUGUAGGCUGCAACUCGCCUACAUGAAGUCGGAAUCGCUAGUAAUCGCGGAUCAGCACGCCGCGGUGAAUACGUUCCCGGGCCUU
rnacentral:rRNA from 1 species